UUUGGUGUGGAAAGACUUUCAAUUGUUCUCUGAACAAUUGGUUUUUAAUUAUUAUUAUUAUUAUUAUUAUUAUUUUUUUUUUUUUCCGCCAAAUUUUGUUCUUGUGAUAAAUGUUUGUUUCGCAAUAUGUCGCUUAGAUAUUUCUCAUAUGGUAUCGUAUAGUUUAUGCGCUUUUAAAUUUCACCCUGCUAAGGCGAACCAUUUUCUUUGUAAGAGUUAUCUCCCUAUUCACUGUUUAUCAUCUGUGUGUAUCUCCUUCGUAACAAAAAAAGAUAGCGACAAAAUUCUUUUUACAAAUUGUUCGUUACAUCCUCAGUAAUUUUUGGCGCAUUUGGAUCGAAGCGAUUCGAUGAAAUUUUAUAGGAGUUAU
rnacentral:lncRNA from 1 species